GGUUUUCUGUUCAUGGGAUUUUGUUUUUGUUUUUGUUUUUUUCUAAUGACUGUAUUUUCAUUUGAAUUGCCUCUUUUUGCUAGUGUAAAAUUAUGAUUAAAUAAUAAUAAUAAUAGUAAUAAUAAUAACAGUCAGCUGUUCCCAGAUUAGUAAAUUAUGUAUAAUUUAUUUUAUUUCUCCCUAUUUUAUUCUGCUUUGGAUUUGGAAGCUGUUAGGUAUUUAAAACUAAUUUCUAUUUCUAACUCAUACACACAUACACACAUAGACACACGUCUGUAUGUGUACGUACACACAAAUACUUGCUUCUCCACCCGUAACUUGCUCUGUGUUAACAGUUUUAGCCCCGGUAGCAUUGGUUCUGGUAUUUCAUAUGAAGCGGUGAAUUAAGAGGAAUGUCAUGUUCAAUCUUAAUUAACUUAUGCUCUUUCCUCUCAUCUUAGUUAUUUAAUUACCAAUUAUCUAGAGCCAGUUUUUGUUUUUGUUUGUUUUGUUUCGAAACACUCUGAAUAAGAAAAAAAAGACACUUGUUUUUAUACAAUUAUAACGCAUACAAUGUGAAAACAGAUUUAUUAAAAAAAAAAAGUUUCUCUGCGUCUUAACAAAUUUCUCCUGACUGAUGUGGGUUCUCCACUCUCAUGUGCUGGGUCCCUGUCUCACAGCACAUUCGAGACAAGCUUGGUUUUCAUUUCCUGACCUUGGGCAACAAGAACACUUUGUUUUAGCUCCAGGUAGAUGCUGCUGACAGGCAUCCAAGGCCAAAACAGCAGUGAAUCAGAGCAAACUCACUCUCUGGUUUGCUUUUGAUUUAUUUGAGGGAAACUGAAACUGUGCAUGGUAACCUGUAGCUGCUGAAACUCUCCAGUUGAGUUGAGUUUAUGUUCAUAACUGAACUGUGCCCAGACAAAACCACAAAGCAAGCCCAUAAUGACAUGCCAUUCUCUGUCUGGACAUUUUCUUCAGCACAUGUUGGCUCUGCUUUGCCCAAGAGUUUUCCCUAGGGGACAACAACAGCAAAGGUAAUUCUACUCAUGGCUAAAGUACACAUAGGUCACUUGGGGGAAAGCUGCUGUAAAUAGCGACUUAACGAUAACAACACAAUGCCCUUGCUCCAUUGGUUAGGUGAUGCUUUUAGGUAGAGGAUCUGAUAGCUUUACAUUCGUUCUAUGGCACGCAGAGGCCAAGUAAGAUAUGGCAGAGGACAUAACAUAAAGUGGAAAGAUGAAAGUUAGCAGUCAACAGCCCUCCCCCCUUCCCUCUCCUCAGCUUAUAGGUUUAAGUCAUGCCCAUCUGUCUUUCUACCGCUUCCCCAUCUUCCCUUUCACACACAUUUAUACCAAAACUGAAGAGUAAUAUUGAUAAUUUCUUCGUUUUUACAUUUGUUAUGGGAACCUCUAAAGCUAGUCACAUUUGAUAUAAAUCUAAGAAAAAUAUUCAGAGAAGAAAAUGGGUUAAAGCCCUUUGUAAGUCAAUGAUAAUUUGGCUAGUUAUUACAAACAGGAGAAAAAUUACACACACUUCAGUGUAAUUUUACCCAAAGUAGUCAAGUGAACUCUGAAAGUUCAUUUGCUUCUAGCUAAGAACUACCUUUGUGUAAAACCCCUCCCAGUGAACAUACGUAUCAUGGUUGGAACCAAAUCUUCCCAUGGGGUAUGAAUAUGAAAGCAUUAAGUGUUCUAUGAUGAAGCCACUUCAUAUGUUUGAUUUCUAAAGUACAAUCUACCUUAGUUUGCUUGAAGGAGAUUAUCUUUCCCAUUCCGUGGUGUGCUUUCAGACAUUUCCAUAAUGCAGAAGCUGACCGUGUCCUCAGAGGCAUCCCUUCUGUCUCACGUAAAAACACAAGGAAUAAACUAUACCAUCCUUACUCUAAAGGGUAAACUAUUGAAUUGUAAUAACUGUAUAUUUACAAACAGGUUUAUAAAAAUAUUUGUCUAUCAAAUUAAUAGUGAAAUAAAACUUUAUGAGGUUUGCAAGGAAGAAAUACGAAAGCUACUUAAAGUGGCUGAUCUAUUUCAUUGCCUCUUAGGGCAGAGACAUUUCUGUAGCCAGGUUGACACAGUAUUUAAUUGUGCAGUCCCACAGGUUGAAGGUGACAUGCUGACGGGUCCCUGUCCUCCCCAAGUGUCUGUCACUGGCCCACUAAAGGCAGUAUUUAUUCAGCUCCCCUGGCUCUAAAGCACUUAGUCCUUCUAACAGUGCGGAUUUCACAAGUGAAAAAGUUUUGUUUGUUUGUUUUUUUGUUUUAUUUGUUUUUUACUGAUUUAAAAAAAAUAGAAAAAGAGACAAUCAAUGCCUGGAGCUUAAAACAAAGUCUGUGCAAACUACCAUCUCACUUGAAAUUUAAUAAAAUAAGAAAUUGUGUAAAUAUAACAUAGAGUUAUAGAUUUCUAUUUUGUUCAUAACAUAGUGUAAUAUAAGUUGUAUAUUUUCAUGUUUUUGGGUUUUAUGUUAUCAUUCAUGCCACAAUAAGAAUAAAACAGGAGUUUGUGUACUCUUGGGAAAAAGAAAAAGAAAAAAAAAAGAUGUGGGUCCCCGCC
rnacentral:lncRNA from 1 species